rnacentral:rRNA from 1 species
CAACUAAAAUUUUAUCUUCCGUUAUAGAUGGUAAUUUAGACCUCUUUUUUUUAUACUUGUACUCUAAUCGUCUUCAACUCUUGGACUGUCCGUUUCUCUUGUGCCCCGUCCCUUUAGUUUUUACAAGGGGCCGCUGCCCUUAGCUUUCAUUCCAUUGGAAUGGCCGGUGCUUUGCGAGCGGGGGUGUACGGUGGUGCCGGGCGUGACGUGCGCGGAGGAGGGAGGAGGGGGAGGAUUGGGAUCUUAGAAGGUCUUAGUCGCACUUCGUCCCUCCCGCUCCGCGCGCGGCGCGAAGGCCUUCGAAGAUCUUCGAGAUCACCCCUUCCUCGGCUCUACCCCUGCAGCCUAGACCUGGCCGUCUAGCUCGUCGAGUUCGCCACGCUCGGCGACCGCCUCCGCCUCCAGUUCCGCGAGACGGAGUUCCGGUACCUCUAGGAGCAGCUCCUCUCGUUGCAGGUCGCGCAGCUGCGGGGGCAGUGCUAUACACCUCUGUAAGUACCUGUCAAGAUGCUGUACUUUCUUGAAAAGUUUCAACCACCACUGACGGGUUUCUGUUUGAUGGACAAGGAACCCCUAAAACAACUGGCUCCUAAAAUAAGACAACUUUGUAAAAACGAAGAAAACCGGAAUUUCCAAUCCAUGGGUCUAGCAUAUUGAAAUUAUGCUCCUUUAGUACUCUCGUCCGUCUAGUGUGUUCAAAUACCGAAGAUACUACUCACAGAAGCAUUUAUACCGAGCCACUUACAGACCUCUAUAACGUGUCUUUAUAAACUGAUAAAUUCAAACAGACGUGAAUAACUCUUGUUUUAGAAGUCACAGGUACCUCCGGAAAGGGGACGAUAAUGCUGUGACCUAGUCUAGUCUCAUUAUCUGGCGUUCGUUCUUCACGGAGUACUACCACGGUACACACUGGAAGAAACCAGACUAGGUCUCCUACGACAUCUGCCGACCCCUAAUUCAGGAGCUCCACGUCCCAAGGAGAAACCACCUUUGCAGCAGAGAAGUAAAUUGGUGAGUUUGUUGUAUCUAAUAUAAACGGCACGAGUAGUUGAUCAGUACCUUCCUAAGUUCACCUACAAGUUAUUGUUCUAACAAUGACAUACCAGACGAGGAUUGAUAACGAUGUCCACACCGUUACAACGACGUUAGGAUCUCGAACUACUCUUGGACUUAUUCGUCAAGGCACAUAAACUUCGACGAGGUGUACUUAGUUCUCCACAAGGACGGUUCUCCGGACGGGGUCUAAUGAAAGAAACUCUGACGUGUGUACCGUACACUGUGCGACACAAAAGUACGGGAACUCGUGGUCGCCCGGCUAUCCCCCAUAACUUCCGCACGGUACAACCGUCUACCCGCGCACGAAACGUUCUCUAAUCGGUCCUCCACGAAAGCCCUACAUAUUUAGCUAACAAGACACAGGCAGGUCCAGAUAACAAACAUUGUUUCAACUACAGCCAUAGGUGAAGAGGGGGUUUAUCGAGGUUAAACUCGAAACUCUUUUACGGAGGCGCUUCCCUCACCACAUCUACUUCGGUGAGACCCGGGUACUACAUUUUAAAACUACGGUCAGGGAAGGAGGGGACCCUUAGGCAUGUAAAAGAUCUUACAUCUUACCAUACGUUUACACACGGAACUCAAAUGGAAAAACAACGUAACGUCCGUCGACAUCCUUUAGAACAUCAAAACUACAAAACG